rnacentral:rRNA from 1 species
GAUGAACGCUGACAGAAUGCUUAACACAUGCAAGUCGAUGGGGAAGUGGUGCUUGCACCAUGGUAACCAUGGCGGACGGGUGAGUAACGCGUAAGGAACUUGCCUGCGGGACUGGGAUAACAGCAGGAAACUGCUGAUAAUACCGGAUAAGGUCAUUAAGCUGCAUAGCUUAGUGAUGAAAGGAGACGCCUGCGGAGAGCCUUGCGUCCUAUUAGCUAGUUGGAGGGGUAACGGCCCACCAAGGCGAAGAUAGGUAGCCGGCCUGAGAGGGUGGACGGCCACAAGGGGACUGAGAUACGGCCCUUACUCCUACGGGAGGCAGCAGUGGGGAAUAUUGGACAAUGGGGGCAACCCUGAUCCAGCAAUUCUGUGUGCACGAAGACGGUUUUCGGAUUGUAAAGUGCUUUCAGCAGGGAAGAAGGAAGUGACGGUACCUGCAGAAGAAGCGACGGCUAAAUACGUGCCAGCAGCCGCGGUAAUACGUAUGUCGCGAGCGUUAUCCGGAAUUAUUGGGCAUAAAGGGCAUCUAGGCGGCCUUUCAAGUCAGGGGUGAAAACCUGCGGCUCAACCGCAGGCCUGCCUUUGGAACUGAUAGGCUGGAGUACCGGAGAGGUGGACGGAACUGCACGAGUAGAGGUGAAAUUCGUAGAUAUGUGCAGGAAUGCCGAUGAUGAAGAUAGUUCACUGGACGGUAACUGACGCUGAAGUGCGAAAGCCGGGGGAGCGAACAGG